rnacentral:rRNA from 1 species
UACGUAGGGGGCAAGCGUUGUCCGGAAUCAUUGGGCGUAAAGAGCGUGUAGGCGGUCCUGUAAGUCCGCUGUGAAAGUCAAGGGCUCAACCCUUGAAUGCCGGUGGAUACUGCAGGACUAGAGUCCGGAAGAGGCGAGUGGAAAUUCCUGGUGUAGCGGUGAAAUGCGUAGAUAUCGGGAAGAACACCCGUGGCUAAGGCGGCUCUCUAGUACGGUACUGACGCUGAGACGCGAAAGCGUGGGGAGCGAACAGG